UACGUAGGGUGCGAGCGUUGUCCGGAAUUACUGGGCGUAAAGAGUUCGUAGGCGGUUUGUCGCGUCGUUCGUGAAAACUUGGGGCUUAACUCCAAGCGUGCGGGCGAUACGGGCAGACUUGAGUACUACAGGGGAGACUGGAAUUCCUGGUGUAGCGGUGAAAUGCGCAGAUAUCAGGAGGAACACCGGUGGCGAAGGCGGGUCUCUGGGCAACAACUGACGCUGAGGUGCGAAAGCGUGGGGAGCGAACAGG
rnacentral:rRNA from 1 species